AUCUGGGCGGCGGAAUUCAGGAUGGCUGGCCGGGUCUCGCGCCCGUUUCGGCCGUUUGAUAUUUCCGUCGCCGUUGCAGACGUCGCGACCUGUUUGUCGUCGGUCCUUGCUCGGAGGAAUCGCGUGCGAGUUCGUUGCGGGGCGUGUUUCGGCGCGUUCCGCGAUGAAGCCGCGGCUCUCUGGCUGACGACGGACAGUAAGCAACGGUGGCCGGCGCGGUGUCACAUCGCACUUCGCGUCGGUGCCGGUCAGCGACGAUUUCUUCGGGCCUCUUUCCGACCCGUCUUGAAACACGGACCAAGGAGUCUAACAUGCGCGCGAGUCGCGGGGUGUCGAGCGUGCCACGGUGCGCUCGUUACUUCCGAAACCCGUACGUUGAAGGCGUAAUGAAAGUGAACAGGGAAGAUGGCGUUCCGAGUCCACGAACCGUGAUCGAGUAUCGCGGCCGGGCGCCCGCACUCCCGGGGCGUCUCAAUGGCUCGUCGCGGAUGCGGACGGUCGUUCUUCGGGGCGGCCGUCGGUCUGCGACGGACCGA
rnacentral:rRNA from 1 species